CCUACGGGGGGCAGCAGUGGGGAAUAUUGGACAAUGGGCGAAAGCCUGAUCCAGCCAUGCCGCGUGUGUGAAGAAGGCCUUCGGGUUGUAAAGCACUUUCAGUGGGGAAGAAAGCCUUGGGGCUAAUACCCUCGAGGAAGGACAUCACCCACAGAAGAAGCACCGGCUAACUCCGUGCCAGCAGCCGCGGUAAUACGGAGGGUGCGAGCGUUAAUCGGAAUUACUGGGCGUAAAGCGCGCGUAGGCGGUCUGAUAAGCCGGUUGUGAAAGCCCCGGGCUCAACCUGGGAACGGCAUCCGGAACUGUCAGGCUAGAGUGCAGGAGAGGAAGGUAGAAUUCCCGGUGUAACGGUGAAAUGCGUAGAGAUCGGGAGGAAUACCAGUGGCGAAGGCGGCCAUCUGGACUGACACUGACGCUGAGGUGCGAAAGCGUGGGUAGCAAACAGGAUUAGAUACCCCAGUGU
rnacentral:rRNA from 1 species